rnacentral:rRNA from 1 species
UACGUAGGGGCCGAGCGUUGUCCGGAGUUAUUGGGCGUAAAGAGCUCGUAGGCGGUUUGUCGCGUCUGUCGUGAAAGCCCACGGCUUAACCGUGGGUCUGCGGUGGAUACGGGCAGACUAGAGGCAGGUAGGGGAGAAUGGAAUUCCCGGUGUAGCGGUGAAAUGCGCAGAUAUCGGGAGGAACACCGGUGGCGAAGGCGGUUCUCUGGGCCUGUACUGACGCUGAGGAGCGAAAGCGUGGGGAGCGAACAGG